AUGAACGCUAGCUACAGGCUUAACACAUGCAAGUCGAGGGGCAGCAUGGACGAUAGCUUGCUAUUGUCGAUGGCGACCGGCGCACGGGUGAGUAACGCGUAUCCAACCUGUCCACCACUUGGGGAUAACCUUGCGAAAGUAAGACUAAUACCCGAUGAUAUCUCUAGACGACAUCUGAAAGAGAUUAAAGAUUUAUCGGGUGAUGGAUGGGGAUGCGUCUGAUUAGCUUGUUGGCGGGGUAACGGCCCACCAAGGCAACGAUCAGUAGGGGUUCUGAGAGGAAGGUCCCCCACAUUGGAACUGAGACACGGUCCAAACUCCUACGGGAGGCAGCAGUGAGGAAUAUUGGUCAAUGGGCGAGAGCCUGAACCAGCCAAGUAGCGUGCAGGAUGACGGCCCUAUGGGUUGUAAACUGCUUUUAUAAGGGAAUAAAGUGGGUCUCGUGAGACUUUUUGCAUGUACCUUAUGAAUAAGGACCGGCUAAUUCCGUG
rnacentral:rRNA from 1 species